rnacentral:rRNA from 1 species
GAUGAACGCUGGCGGCGUGCCUAAUACAUGCAAGUCGAACGCAUCCCGUUAAAUGAAGUGCUUGCACGGAUUUUAACAUUGGAUGAGUGGCGAACUGGUGAGUAACACGUGGGUAACCUGCCCAGAAGCGAGGGGAUAACACUUGGAAACAGGUGCUAAUACCGUAUAACAACAAAACCGCAUGGUUUUGUUGAAGGUGGUUUCGGCUAUCACUUCUGGAUGGACCCGCGGCGUAUUAG